UCUUCGUCAUUCUGUCGUAUUCCCACUCCUCAUCACCUAAAAGCAUGAAAAAUACCAUGCCAGUUGCGCUACCUUCUGCAGAGUGAAGUUGGACUUUAAUUAUAAGCCCUGGAUUGGAGUUACCAAUUGGUUGGGAAUCGGCCCUUGGUUUGGAACCUGGAGAAGCCUUUUGAUUCUAGGUAUCGUUCAGGUUACGUGUGCUAUGUUCCAGUCAAGACGAAAGCAGAAGUGCACCUCGGACCUAAAUAAGGAUUUUAAGUACAAAUUCGUGGCCGCCUGCUGCCCCGGAGCCGAGUCUGUCUGAGCGGAGGUCAACAGGGCUAGCUGUCACCACCGAGGUUCAUUGCCGGCAGCUCCCUGCCAAUGCUGAAAACGAGCCACCGCUCCUGGCGUCGCUGACACCAAGCAGAAACCUCAUUACCUCUUCGCACUCGCAGCCCACCCCGUGCAGCUCAGGCGAACGCCCGGCACCAGUAUGGAGCCCAGGACCGCGGCUGCCGCUGGGACCUCGUCCUGCAUCCCUCAGGCACCAGGACCACUGCUCAGGAGUGUGCGAGGCGCCCGCAGUGGGGCUGCAGGCUGGGAGAAGCCAGCGCUGUCAUCAGGAGGGAAAACAAGCCCAUUCUGAGGAUAUUGCUGAGGUUUGGGAUUCUCUCAAAAUUGAGUAUCAUUCCUGAGACUUAACGACGUUCAUGUUGGCUGCCCCACGUGUUGCCCCGUGACCACGUCAGACUCCAGCCUCAGCCUUCACCGCCAGCCCAGAACCAGAGCAGCGGCUCCCUCUGUCCAGGGCUGCUAGCCAGGACCGCUGGUGGGAAGGGGGCCAGCCGCCCCCGCCGCGCUGGGAAGGAUGGAGACGCCAGGCUCAUGUAACCACCAGCGUGUCAGCACCUCUGACCUUGGCACUUUUCCGUGCCAUUGGUGGUGUGCAGUCAACAUAGAUCUGGUGAGAGAGCCUAGUCGGGGACACUUCCCACUUGAACUCAUUACUAAUUUGAACACAAAGUAAAUGGAAAGUGAAUCUUAAAACUGCAGUGGAAAUCAUGGUUGCAGUAUAGCAAGAUGGCUCCCGGGAGAAAGAUCACCUCGUGCUGUUCUCUGCCUUUGUACUGAUGGUUCAGGUACUUGGCCGACAUGAAUGUGUUUGUAAUCCCUGCCGCCUAACGUUUUCUCUAGGAAGAUGGUAGAAAGAUUGGAGGCUAAUGUUUGUUCCAAAAUGCUGCGGAUAUGAGCAC